CGGUCGCCCGCUCGAGGCUGCACCUGCCCUGAUCGCCCCUAAACUGUCCGGCCUAGUGGGCUUGGGUAAGUGGGCCGGGCGGCGACUCCGACCGCAGGGAACGAGCGUGCGAGAGCGAGCGGGUGUAGCGGCAACGCUGAAAGCCCUAUUUCCAAAAUGAAAACCCGUGAUUUUGAAAUGAUUUCCGGAGAAGGNNNNNNGGAGGGGCGGAGAUGGCGGGAUAUGGAGGCAGUUAAAUAUCUGCCAGACCCGGACCUGUCGUUCAUUCCAGAAGUGUCUCUUGAGUCUCUUGAGACUCAGCAGGUUCAAGGCGCUGGAGGCAGACCCAGGGCCUUGCUCUUUAGGAAGCUUACCUUCUAGUGGAGUAGAGAGGUUUAAGCAGACAGACCAGGUAAAGACGGAUUAUGGCAAGGCUAUGCCAUGCAGGGGAUACAGAAGAAUGAUGCGAGGGUUGAGUGGGCGAGACCCCCUUUUUCGGGAUAGGAUGGCUAGAGAACCUCUGGAGGGAAGUGAUAGUUGAGCUGCUUCCUGAGACAAAGGCAUGAAAUGACAACUUAGACACAGUUUUACAGCCGGGGACUGUAGGUUCCAGAACUGCUGCGUAAGGCCGCGGAUUAUGUUAAAAACCUGUCUCCCAAAGCCUGCUGCUUCUUUUUUUUUUUUUUUUAAUUUUCCUUUUAAUGUUUAUUUUUUGAGAGAGAAAGAGAGACAGCGCGAGCGGGGGAAGGGCAUAGAGAGAGAGGGAGACCCAGAAUCCCAAGCAGGCUCCAGGCUCUGAGCUGCCAGCACAGAGCCCGACUGUGGGCUCAAACUCACAAACCCUGGGAUCAUGAACUGAGCCAAAGUGGGACGCUUCACCGACGGAGCCACACAGGCGCCCCCUCUAAAGCCUUCUAAGGGCUGUCUCUGUCCUGCCCACUCCUUCAGUUUCGAAGGGCUUGCUCCCCCUUGGGAGUUGUUGGGGUCUGGGACUGUGGCUUCUCAGCGGAGGUUCAAGGCAGGAAUUAGGGAGCUUUGGUGUGUAGACAGACAUCAACAGAUGCUUGAAGGCAAACAGCCCCGAAAGACAAAUUCUUUAACCUUUUGCCGUUUCUUUUCCCACGUCACUUUUUCUGAAACCCAUGAGUAAACAUUAAAACUAUGAUUUUUACCUGGGAGCUUAAUCCUCCCAAAAGAUGGAGCUCUGUUACGAUCUGCAUAAGAGAAUUAAUGACCUAUUUUGCUAAAUCAGUUAAAGACAAAAUUAAAAGCGGACUUGCGAAGAGAGGACCUUUUCAGGUUAUAACGCAUUACCUGAAUAAUACCAAAAAACCCAAUAAUGUUUAUUCAAUAUUAGUUUAUAUAACUGCAUAAUUAAUGGAACGAUUGUUUGGAUAAUAAUAGUGGGGUUAGAAUCUCGAGCCCUCUUUGCUUACUCCUCUGCCAUUUGUUUUGGUUCAUACCAAACUAACAGAAGGAAAUACUUUGUUGUGUCUUCUGGGAAAACUGGGAGCGAGCUCACACUUCUUGCCGCCUACUGUUUGCACAGCAUUGUGCUAGGCAUUUAAAUACAUUAUCCCUUUCAGGACUGGGACCAACCUUGAGAUAUGAGGAUUGUUAUACCCAUUGUCGUAACGAAGACGUAGUCGCUGGAAGGGUCAGAAAUUAAAGUCUAACUGAUGAACUCUAAUUAACUCUAGCCCUAAUUCCCCUUUUGCACCAUGUGCUAUAUACUCUAAUAUUUAAGAAGGAAAUAUAAGUCAAGGGUCCAGCCAAGCAGAUUUGUAUGUUGCUUUUAGAAUUUUGUUACAAAAAUAAGCUUUAAGGUCGAGUGAUACGAGGCAAUGUUGGAGCGAGCUUCUCUGCGUUUUUACUUCUGCCUCUAAAGGAUAUUUGCCAUCUAUUUGACACCAAAAAACAACCCUACUUGUUUUAGGAGUUCAGAAUGCCAUGUGUCUUUUGGUUGGUUGGUGGUUUUAUGUGAGAGGAAGAGAGCGCCAGCAGGGGAAGGGCAGAGGGAGAGGGGGAGAGAAUCCUUAAGCAGGCUCCAAGCUCAGUGUUGGAGCUUGAGCUCCAAGCUCAAGACCUUGGGACCAUGACCUGGCGGAAAUGAGAAGAGUCAGGCGCCCAACCUGCCGAGCCACCCAGGCACCCUCGCCCUGUGUCUUUUAAAUGCUCCCAAUAAUGUGAUAAAUGAUGACACUAACAUUAUGUCAUUGCAAGGGGCUCCUGCCCAACUGUGUCAGUCUGCGUUCUUUCACAAGCAGCCUUUCCUUGCACACAAAGUGACUUCUUUCUGCCAAAAAUAUGUUCCCAGAUUUUUAUGGAAUAUUCUGACAUGUGAAUGCCCCCAGGUCUGUGUAGACUGGCUGCUCUAGAGACGUUUAACGGAUGAAGGAAAGUCUUGCAAGUGUUUAUAUGGUUUUGAGGAAUGGGGUAGUAGGAUUUGUACAUUUUUGUUUCGUUCCUAUCAGAUCCUUCACGUUUUUCUUUGAUGAUGUCAAGAAAUAAAACUUUUCCUUUCUCAAGAGCAGUCGUUUUUUGUGGUUUUCACAAAAUUCAGUUGUGUUUUGCACACAUAGUACUACGUGUUGCUCUCUGCACACUUCCAGAAAACAUCAUUAGUUCAGACAUUAAACAUAGGAUGCGACUUUUCAGAGCCUAAUGUUUUUAUUAAUGAGAUGUGUCUGUCUGUCUUUUUCAUUUUGGUUAACUCCUUAUAAACCUAUGGGAAUCUGGCAAAGCAAGUCUUUGACUAUGUAUGUUUAAGUUCUCGUUCUAAAAAUCCCUUCUUAUCUACAUUUACUGUUUUUCCUGCUGUCUUCUUUUUUUAUUUUAUUUAUGUGUUUAUUUCACUUUUUAUUUGGAAAUAAUUACAGACUCGCCAAAGGGUACAAAAAUAGCGCAGCGAGGUUACCCUCCACCCAGGUUCACCCUCUGGCAGCAUCUUGCGCACCCAUAAUACAUUAUUAAAACUAGAAAAUUCACAUCUUGCUAUCUUCUUUAGGUUUUUAGUUUCUUUUUAAGUUUCAUUGGGUCGAAAAUUACCAUUUUGUAACAAUUCAUUUGUACUGUAUUUGAUUUGGCUCUUCUCCCUUUCCCAGAUUAACAAAUGACAAAGUCCGUAAGCUUGCCACAGUGCUCCUCUGGAAUUACAAGCUUACUACGACAAUUCUGUGUUUCAGCACGCUUAAAAGGAAGUCAUUUGUAAGAUUUUUGGUUUUUUCUGCUUACGCCGCUCCAUGUCAUUCUGCCCUAAUAAACCUGUAAAUUUAUACAACCUGUGUAUGUGGGUGUUUUAAUAUAUCCUUUGACCACUGAAAUGUUUUCAAAGAGGUUGCUAUUAAAGUAAAAAGAAAAAUAAUGCAAAGCUUUUUCAUUUGACUGAGGGGAAAACUUUCUAGUGCUUUCUUUCCUUCUUUCUUUCUUUCUUUUUUUCUUUAUUCCUUUCUGUCUGUCUUUCUGUCUUUCUGUCUUUCUUUCUUUCGAGAGGGAGAGAGAGCGUGUGCGCACCAGCAGGGGAGGAGCAGAGACAUGAGGAGAGAAUCCCAAGCAGGCUGUGCACUGAUGACGUAGGACUUGAUCUCAGGAACCACGAGAUCAUGAUCUGAGCUGAAAUCAGGUGCCCCUGACUGGGGAAAAAAAAAGUUUCUAAACAUGUGACUAUCCAAGUGAGAAUACGAGGCAUGGUCUGUUGGUUCAGAAGCCAGAUCUCACUUCUGGCUCAUUCUGGCUCUAAAUGAAUUCUAGCCAGCUCACCCUUUACUCCACCAGAGAGUAAACAAAGGAAAGAAAAGAAGUGUAACUUACUUUCUUCAGUCUUAGCGUUGAGAAGAAGUUGAUGACAAGAGAGAAUUUGGGAUUUGGGGUAGGUAUCAAUUAUGUAUGAAUGCCUCAUCACAAAUAAUCAAGUGAUAGCCCUUAUGCGUUAUAUAUUUAUUGUAAAUAAGUAGUCAAACGCUCUUCCUUCUAUGGCUUGUUUAGCAAAUGUAUUCGUCUACUGUGUACCAGUUGCCCAGUUAGACGCUGGUAACAGAGACACAACAGGAUCUAUUUUUUUAAGGAGUAUUAAGCUCUUACUAUGUGCCAGAGACUUCAUAGAUGCUAGGGAUCCAAAGGGAAGUAAAAAGAAAGCUGUGUUUUCUUCUCUCGUGAAACUUCCUGUCUGGUGAGGGAGACAAAUUAUCACACAAAAGUAACUUUAUAAUCCCAAUAGGUAUUACUAAGGGUAGAGAAGUGGUGCCUGAGGGCAUUAAAGUGGAAUUCUACCAAAUCGGGGGUGUCAGAAAUGGCUUCUAGCAAGAGAAUCUUUGAGCUAAGAUUUAAAACUGCCUCAUAGUGAACUUGAUGCAGAAGCACAGGAGGAGCAAGGAAAAACAGAGUCCCAGAGACUGAAAAGAAACGAGGGAGCUAAUGUGAGAGGGAUCUAGAGAAUUAAGCAAAGACCCACCAUGCAGGGUCAUACAGGUUUGGUAAGGAUUCUUGUCUUUGCUUCUGAAGUGAUACAAACCAAUUUAAGAGUUUUUAGUAGGAGUGGCAUCAGAUUGGUGUUUCCAAAAGCUCACUCUGGCUUCAAUGUGAAGAAUUCACUCUUUAAGUAUGUCCUGAGUACCCACUAGAAGCCAGGUUAUAGUCUGCACACUGAGCGUGCAGCAGUGAACAAAACAGAAAGAUUCCCUAACUUUGAGGAUCAUGUUAUAGACAAUACACAGUAGUAUAUAAGAUAGUAGUAUCUAAGAAGCUCUAUAAAGAAAGUUGGAAUCCAGGUGAGAAUAAAAAGGUAGGGUGGUGGUGCAUUUUAUUAGCUUGAACCAUAUGAAGCUCCUGAUCUUUUUUACACUGUUUUAGACUCAGAACAAUAUUGGGUUCCUGUGGGUUAAACAUGGUUGGAUGGCAUUAAGUUGUUCAACCUAAUACUUGCUUGGAAGAGUCAGAGAAGACCUCUCAUGAGGUGAUCCAAAGAAAGAGGCAAGCCAUUCACAUACCAAGGAGAAGAGCAUCCCAAGCAAAGGGACAGCAAGUGCAAAGACCCUGAAGCAAGAACGUGCCCGCCGUGUUUGAGUAAGCAACAAGGAGACCAUUGUGGCUGAAGGGUAAUGGUCAACGGGGAAGAAUGGCAGUAGGGACCAGAUCAUAGAAUCUUGAAGACCAUAGUAAGAAAUUGGCUUUUCCUUUUUGAAUGAGGUAAGCUGUUAGAGAGUUUUGGGCAAACGAGCUACACAAUCUGUCAUCUUAACAGGACCGUGCUAUUAAUAGUGGACUCUACAGAUAGUGGGUCUACAUACGAUGGAACAUUAGAAAAUCUUUUCACCUUUUACGUAUGUCUGAAAACUUACUUCAUAAAAUGAGACUGUUGUAGCUGCUCUAUUGUAACUAGACUUUAGAGGGCCAGUGAUGAGAUCAAGAAGACCAGUUAGUCUAUUGCAAUAAUUCAGGCAGCAGUGGAGGUAUUAAGAAGAAGUGGUUAGUUUCUGAAUACGUUUCGAAGAUAGAGCCAGUAAGAUUUGCUAAUGGAAUGGAUUUCAUAUGCAAGAAAAAGAGAAAAGGCCACCUGUAAGGUUUUAGACCUGAGCAACUGGAAGGAUGCAGUUGCCAUCUACUGAAAUUUGGAAGACCGUCUAGGUCACGCAAGUUUGGAGGAAAAGACUUUUUCCGGACGUUUGAGAUGCCUAUUGGUCAUCUAAAUGGAGACAUCAAGUAGGCAAUUAGAUACACAAGUCAGUCAUUCAGAGGAAACAUCCAGAGAGGAAAUACAAAGAUGUGGAUCUACCUAAAGACUAGGGAUACGAGGACCAGUGCCUUGAGAAUUUAAUGGAAAUAGUUGGGAGUUUAGUCUAAACCCUCUUUUGUUGUAGGCUGGUUUUGUUUCUAGAUAGGUGUCUUUAUAUUGCCAUUCUGAACACUUAAUAUGCAUACUGUUUGCAACUCAUUUGUGUUCUAAAGGGUUUUGUUUUUUAAUGUUUUCAUGUCUUUCCAAGCAGAUUUUACAUUUCUUUAAAAAAGAUUUAUUUUAGGGGCGCCCGGGUGACUCAGUCGGUUAAGUGACUGUGGGUUUCAGCUCAGGUCGUGAUCUCAGGGUUUCAUGAGUUCGAGCUACGCUUCAGGGUGUGGGCUGGCAGUGUGGAAUCGGCUUGGGAUUCUCUCUCUCCCUCUCUCUCUGCUCCUCCCCGGCUUGCGCCGUCUCUGUCUCUCAAAAUAAAUAAAUAAACUUAAUAAAAAAGAUGUCUUCUUUUGUACACUUCACACUGCCAUAUCCCUAGAAAACUUUUUUUUAAAUAUUAGAACGAAAGAGCACAAGCAGGGGAGAGGGGCAGAGUGAGAGAGAGAAAAUCUUAAGUAGGCUCCAUGCUGAGGGCUCAAUCCCAUAAGUUUAGGAUCGUGACCUGAGCCAAAAUCAAGACUCAGAUGUUCAACUGACUGAGCCACACAGGCACCCCCCUAGAAGACAUUUUACAAUGCUUAUAUAAUAAACUAUUCCAAUACGGAGUUUUUUUAUUUCUUUAGUUGUUACAAAGCAUCAAUUUUCUUAUAAUUUAGACACUUCUAGCUGUCCUGUGAAAAUAAGGGUAGAGUUAGAACUUUCAAUCUACUGCCACUCAUGCCCAUUUCAAAUCAGACAAAAGAGAGCCUUCUGAGAAACAAAAAGCAGCAACAAAAAAGGCUCAGCUCUCCUCCAUGUUGCCUUUAUACUCAGACUUCGUGUGGCCGCAAAAUGGUUUCCAACAAUUUCAGGUCUACAUCCGUCCCCAUCCAAGUCCAGCAUGAGAAAGAUCCUUCCUAGCAGCAGUCCCUGAUUCACUAAUUAAACCAACACAGAUCCCAUCCCCAGCUAGGAAAAUUUUAUGCUGUGAUUGGCCAAAUAUGAGUCACAUGCUUCACUUAUGUUUCACCCAAAGAACAUGGACUGUAGGAGAGGAGUGGUUCCCCAGAAGAAAAAAUGGGAUGCUGUCAACAAAAUAAGGAAAUGGACACUGAUGGCCAGAAAAUAAUACGACCUCUACAAAUUAACAAAGGCCUAAAGCAUUCUCCCAAAGCUUUUAAAAGAAGUAAUACCAUUGGGGUGCCUGGCUGGUUUAGUCGGAAGAGCACGCGACUUGAUCUCAGGGUCGCCGUGAGUUGAGUCUGAGCUCCGCUUUGCGUGUAGAGAUUACAAAAAAAAAAAAAAAGAAAGAAAAACGAAAUGUCAUGGCACUCAUUUUGCAUCUCUUCCAAUUCUAUACACAAUACUGCAUUUCCCUUGUAUCAUUAGGCUGUCAUAUAUUCAUUUGUCGUUGAUGAGUGAAUGUCACAAAAAGUAAAUAAAUGCAUGAGCAUAAAAGUUAACCAGCUGGAAGGGGCAGUUUUUCAGCACAUCACUUUCCAGGGUACUCCCACCUAGGUAUUACAGGUAGUUUCUUGUCCUACAAUUCUUUCCUGUUGUCAGUCCACCUGAAAAAUAUUUAUUAGCCCUCAGGACCCUGGGGGCAGGGUGGCUACUAUCUAAGACGCCUCAGAAACCUUUGCAGAAGCAAGUGACAAUGAGUCAGCUCAAGCUUAUCUUCUUGGAGGACAUUUACAUAGUGUGGAGUCUUGAAAGAAAAAUGUACGUACAGAUUUGUUUUCAGCUUCUUUUUGGUUUCACCAUUUCCAGUCCCUUGUACACUAAUAGGUUACUUUCCCCACAAGAUGUUUAACCUAACUUGUGUGGCAUUUUUAUCCUUUUAGAUCAAAUUUUGCUGCAGGAAAUGGAUAACGUGUUGGCUCUCUGUAUUAUUCUGGAAUUUCGGAUGGCUUCUCCAGUUUGCUGCUUCCCUGGACACCAAACAUAACAUUCCCUGUUCUAGGACCUGCUUCAAGUUGGUCAUAAGACUGGCAGAAAGUCAAACCAAACUAAAUGAAUAGUUGUUGAAGUUAAUCUCACGUCCUGGAGCUGUGUGUGCUAUGGAAUAGCCUGCUGUUAUUACCAGGCAAAAUGCUGAUCAGAAUCACUGCUCUGUGGUCUUGUUCAUCAGAAUUUCAUGUUUGGAAAUUAGAUUUGGGUCUGGUUACUGUAAAAAUAGAUAUUAUGAUAAUGGAAUAUAGCCGUUAAAAUUUCUAUUGCAGGAGAAAUUAGCCAUGUAUUUAAAUGUAGGAGUAUGUUACUAAACAAUAUGUUCAAGAUGAUUCCAGUAUUGUUUAAUGUUAUACAGACGUAGACAAAUACUGGAAAAAGGCACUCAAAGUUAACCUUAAGGAAUGGAGGUACCAGUGAUUUCAUUUGACUUGUUUACUGUUCAUGCUAAGUGAAAUAUAUACACAAUGGAAUACUAUGUGGCAAUGAGAAAAAAUGAAAUAUGGCCCUUUG
rnacentral:lncRNA from 1 species